rnacentral:rRNA from 1 species
UACGUAGGGGGCAAGCGUUGUCCGGAAUCAUUGGGCGUAAAGAGCGUGUAGGCGGCCUGGUAAGUCCGCUGUGAAAGUCCAGGGCUCAACCCUGGAAUGCCGGUGGAAACUGUCAGGCUCGAGUCCGGAAGAGGCGAGUGGAAUUCCUGGUGUAGCGGUGAAAUGCGCAGAUAUCAGGAGGAACACCAAUGGCGAAAGCAGCUCGCUGGGACGGUACUGACGCUGAGACGCGAAAGCGUGGGGAGCAAACAGG